GGAGUAAAAGUCGUAACAAGGUUUCCGUAGGUGAACCUGCAGAAGGAUCAUUAUCAUGUAAUUCAGUCCCCUUGGCUGUGUUAUAUAUAUACCCACUCUGUGUACCUUCUCCUGUUGCUUCCGCUGGGUGUGUAAUUCGCCCGGCGGAAGGGUAAAAAUAACCUCUGAGUAUUGAUGAAAUCUCUGUCUGAACCGAAUAGAAAGAAAAAUGUUAAAACUUUCAGCAACGGAUCUCUUGGUUCUC
rnacentral:misc_RNA from 1 species